GGCACUGCUUUGGGCAAUUUACCUCCGUUGCUGAGUUUUCUUGGCAUCUCCUGGUAUGCUGCAUCUCUGCAUGUGCCACACCCUAGUCCAGACCCUGACCCACACAGUGCUGGGGUUUAAGGGAGGCCUGCUUUUUUCUCUCCAUUUACAGAUGGGAAAGCUGACAUAAACGGGUAGGUGGUAGAGGUGGGAUUUGAACCCAGGUAACCUAACUCCAAACUUCUGCAUCUUGUCAUAAGGAUCCAAAUCUUAGGCUUUAAGGGGUUCUGUGCAGAUCCUCAGCAGCCUCCCCAGCUUCAGAUCCGGCCUCCUGAGCUCCAGUCUCUCUGAUACCUGCACCCAGGCUCAGGUGCAGGCCAGAGCUCACCUGACUCUGGUGAGCUGCUCUGCCCUACACCGGGAUUGCAGCACACAUCACAUGGCGCUGUCAUUGUCAGAUCCAUCUCUGUGUCCCCACACCCAGCCUGACACAUGGAGCCUGGGAUACAAUAGAUGCUCAAACCGUUGGAGACACGCACAGCAACUUGGGGUAGGGAAGAGAGUCUGGAUGGGAGACAUCAGACAUCACUAUGUCAUGGAGAACCCCCUGCAACUGCAUAAAGGGACUAACAAUUUGUACCUGGCCUUCGUGAGACCCCUGGAGGGAACUGCCACUGGCGCUGGUUUCGUAGCAAGAAUAUACCUCAAAUGACCAAACAGGAAUGAAAAACUUCAGAUGGUUUAGGUGCCAGUGGCUUCCGAAUAAAACAGCAUUCUUGAAGUGAACAGCUGAUGAGGACAUGAAAUAUUAUGCCAAAGCUGGCAUCACACUGUUCUUUUUCCUGGAUGAAAAUCUCUCUGAGAAGCAUUUGCUCUUAACUUUGGUGUCCUGGGGACUGCUGCCUUAUCCCAGGAAGCCACCCAGAGUCUUGGAUGUGUGGGAUCCUUAGGACUUCAUGGUAAACCUGCUCUAGUCCCUCGGGUUAGUAAAAUGAAGCCCAGGACAUCUGAGAGCCCCCAGCACUUCCAUAGAAAUGGACCAAAAUCCCUUCUCCCAGGGGGAGAAACCUGGAAUAAGCUCAAGAGGACAGACGGCUAAAUUUUCAAGAAUCGUGUGAGCUGCUGUUAAACAAGCCAUUAUUAAAACUUUAAUUGUGUAAACUUACAAUUAGGUCAGUUAUAUUAAAAGUAAAAGUGAUACAUACCCCAAACUCAUCUCUUUCAAGUUAUUUUACUAUAUUUUACUGUUUUCUAUAGGCUUGAAGUUAUUUACAUCUACUGUAAGUGUGGGGGUGGAAAUUCAAUAUAAUGACACGCUACCAAGCACCUCUUCUCAACUUGGUGUUUAGUGACCUCACCAAGGUAGCUUCAAACAGGCUGUGAUGGGAGUAUUUACACCUCAGAAAUUAGCAAAUGCUAUUAAUUAGGGCUCUUUUCCCCCCAGAGACCCUGGUAUUAAGCAUUUAUUAGCACCUGGGCACAGUGGCUCACGCCUGUAAUCCCAGCACUUUGGGA
rnacentral:lncRNA from 1 species